UAAACACACUUCCUGUUUCAGCACUAUCUGAGUCGUGUGUAUAUGUGUGAGUGUGUGUUUGUGAGUGUGUGCAUGUAUAUGUGCGUUUGAAGCAGAUGAAGCUGCUGCAACAAACAGAAAUGUUUUCUGGUAUUCUGUGGAUAUGAAGUGAAGACCAUCUGAUCUCUGACCUGCAGAAACAUGGGGAGUGUGUGACAGCCACAGGAAGUGUGAAGAUGCAGCACACCUCGUGCACAGAGGAUCGGAUCCAGCACGCUCUGGAUCGUUGCCUUGAUGGUCUCCGAUCAUCUGAACUCCUCUCUCAGUCCUGGAACACUGGAUGGUGUAUGAACCGCUGGAGUUUGGAGGAACUCCUGAAAAGAGAUCCAGAAAACUUUCUCAUCCUCCUGCAGCAGAUUCUCAAGAAAGCAAGACAGGUGCAGGAGGAGUGUGAGUAUGAAUUGGUGGCUCCUCUCAUGAUCAUGUUUGAGUCCACACUUCUACAGACUCCCUACUGUCCAAUAGAGUGUGACGUCCUGGUAGAAGCAUGUGAAGUGUUUCAUAGUUUCCUCACGUGGCCUGAACCGUACUGCAGUGUGUGUUGUAGUGUUCUAACGACUAUAAAGCAGGAGCUGAAGGCACCAGGUAACACACACAUACAUACACACACACACAC